GACUCCUCCCCUCUCAGGUCAGUUCAGUCUGUCGCUGAAACCAGACACAGAGAGGAGGAACAAUGAUCCGGAUCAUUCUGUGGCUUCUCUGCAUCUCCUGUCAGUCACAGGCCAAAGACGUCAAACAAGAGCCUCCAUCGAUAUUUGGAAGUCCUGAUGGUUCAACAACUAUCAGCUGCAGCCAUACUAUAAGUUCAUUUUAUGUCAUACUGUGGUACCAGCAGCCCACAGGCAACUCCAGCCUUAACCUCAUUGGAUAUAUUCAGUACACAAAUGCAGUCGUUGAAGAUAAAUUCCGAGAACGUUUCAAUGUGUCUGGAGAUGGCUCGAAGAAAUCAGAACUUCAUGUAGUGAAACUCAGACAGGCAGAAGACAGCGGCAUGUAUUACUGUGCAGCUA